rnacentral:rRNA from 1 species
UACGUAGGGUGCAAGCGUUGUCCGGAGUUACUGGGCGUAAAGCGCGCGCAGGCGGCCCUGUGCGCUGCCGGUGAAAGCUCCCGGCUUACCUGGGAGAGGUUCGGCAGGACGGCAGGGCUGGAGGGUGGGAGAGGUCGGUGGAAUUCCCGGUGUAGUGGUGAAAUGCGUAGAGAUCGGGAGGAACACCCGUAGCGAAGGCGGCCGACUGGACCACACCUGACGCUGAGGCGCGAAGGCCAGGGGAGCGAACGGG